AUUGAACGCUAGCGGGAUGCUUUACACAUGCAAGUCGAACGGAGUGGCGAACGGGUGAGUAAUGUAUCGGAACGGGCCCAGUAGCGGGGGAUAACUACGCGAAAGCGUAGCUAAUACCGCAUACUAUUGGAGCGGCCGAUAUCGGAUUAGCUAGUUGGUGAGGGAAAGGCUCACCAAGGCGACGAUCCGUAGCUGGUUUGAGAGGACGACCAGCCACACUGGGACUGAGACACGGCCCAGACUCCUACGGGAGGCAGCAGUGGGGAAUAUUGGACAAUGGGGGCAACCCUGAUCCAGCCAUCCCGCGUGUGUGAUGAAGGCCUUCGGGUUGUAAAGCACUUUUGGCAGGAAAGCGGUACCCGCAGAAUAAGCACCGGCUAACUACGUGCCAGCAGCCGCGGUAAUUC
rnacentral:rRNA from 1 species